ACAGCAGCCGCCGCGGUAAUACGAAGGGGGCUAGCGUUGUUCGGAAUUACUGGGCGUAAAGCGCACGCAGGCGGCUCGAUAAAUUAGAAGUGAAAGCCUUGGGCUUAACCUGAGAAUUGCUUUUAAGACUGUCGAGCUAGAAUCCAGAAGAGGGUAGUGGAAUUCCGAGUGUAGAGGUGAAAUUCGUAGAUAUUCGGAAGAACACCAGUGGCGAAGGCGACUACCUGGUCUGGCAUUGACGCUCAUGUGCGAAAGCGUGGGGAGCAGACAGGAUUAGAUACCCCGGUAGUCCCUGUCUCUUAUAC
rnacentral:rRNA from 1 species